GCAAGUCGAGCGCUUCCCUUCGGGGAGGAGCGGCGGACGGGUUAGUAACGCGUGGGAACGUACCCUUUUCUGCGGGUUAGCCAUUGGAAACGACGAGUAAUACCGCAUACGCCCUUCGGGGGAAAGAUUUAUCGGAGAUGGAUUGGCCCGCGUUAGAUUAGAUAGUUGGUGAGGUAAUGGCCUACCAAGUCUACGAUCUAUAGCUGGUUUUAGAGGAUGAUC
rnacentral:rRNA from 1 species